GCCCUGGUCGCCUAACCUGGUUAUGGCGAAUGGCUGAAAACCAUUUUGACUACCACAGUCUUGCGAGUUCGAAUCUCGCCCAGGGCG
rnacentral:tRNA from 1 species